AACUCCCUAGCACGACCUACGCAGCCCUGACAAGCUGCUGCUGCUCUCCAUGCUGCGGCUGCGAGGCCACUCUGGGCAGGACCCACGUUGCUGACCCCUAUGGGGUGGUCCUCUUUUCCUAAGGCCCUCCACAUGCACACCCUGCACCAGUGGCCUUGUGAGAUGCUCUGGGUCACCUUUGCCUCAGCGAGCCAGAGAAGGAUUGGGACUGACAAGGAGAAGGAGGGAAUGAAUAGGAUGACUCCACGAAUUUCUCCCCAACGGGCACUCACUGGCGAGAACUGCGAAACAGCAUCAAGAUCAGGCCCGGAGAACCGACUGCGGGAGGAUGGCGGAGGGUGCUCCUGAGGUGGCUGUCUGGGUCUAAUGGCCAUUUCCAGAGGAAGGAAGCAUUCUACGACCAAUCAGCAUGCCUGUACCACUGUGCCCACACAGAGAAAUGAUGACAUAGAUUAAAAAUGCUGCCUCCCAAGCUAGCCCUCUGAAUGGCACUGAAAUUUCCUAAAUGCAUAUCAUGGAAAGAAUCCUAUGUACGCUAAUUUCAAAAAUUGUUGCUUUUAAGUCCGGAGACUGCCACUUAGUCACCUGUGUGACCUUAAGUUAACUAACUUCUCUGUGCCUCUUUCAUCUUGGAAAGGAGAUGAGAAUAGUUACUAAUGAGUUCCUCCAAGUAAAGUGUGCUUAGAACACUGCCUGGUCCACAGUAGGCCCUCAGUUGAUAGUGGGUUUCAAAGUUUCUGCUGCUGAGGGACAUUCCUUGGGUAGAAAAGGCUGUGAGUUAAGGUGUAUAGCUUAAUCCAGAUUCUGGCCAUCAGGUCUGUCUCAAUAUGCAUUUGUUAAUCAAAACAGAACUAAAUAUAGC